rnacentral:rRNA from 1 species
GACGAACGCUGGCGGCGUGCUUAACACAUGCAAGUCGAGCGGUAAGGCCCUUUCGGGGGUACGACGAGCGGCGAACGGGUGAGUAACACGUGGGUGACCUGCCCUUAGCUCUGGGAUAAGCCUGGGAAACUGGGUCUAAUACCGGAUAUGACUCCAUAACGCAUGUUGUGGGGUGGAAAGCCUUGUGCGGCUAGGGAUGGGCCCGCGGCCUAUCAGCUUGUUGGUGGGGUGAUGGCCUACCAAGGCGACGACGGGUAGCCGGCCUGAGAGGGCGACCGGCCACACUGGGACUGAGACACGGCCCAGACUCCUACGGGAGGCAGCAGUGGGGAAUCUUGCGCAAUGGGCGAAAGCCUGACGCAGCGACGCCGCGUGGGGA